GAGCGGGAUCGGGAAAGCAGCAAUGUGGACCCGUGAGAGCGGCGGAAGGGCGAGUAAUACGUGGGCAAGUUACCUCUUAGCCGGGGACAACGUCUGGAAACGGACGCUAAUACCGGAUGUGGCCCGGAACCGCAUGGUUCCGACGCUAAAGGCGGGGACCCGCAAGGGCCUGUCGCUAGGAGAGACGCCCGCGUGCCAUCAGCUUGUUGGUGAGGUAAUGGCUCACCAAGGCUUACGGCUAGGUGGACUGAGAGGUUGGUCACCCGCACUGGGACUGAGACACUGCCCAGACUCCUACGGGAGGCUGCAGUCGAGGAUCAUUCGCAAUGCACGAAAGUGUGACGAUGCGACGCUGCGUGGAGGACGACGGCCUUCGGGUUGUAAACUCCUAUCAUGAGGGAAAAGACGGCCUCCGUGAAUAGCGGAGGUCACCGAUGGUACCUCAAGAGGAAGCCACGGCUAACUCUGUGCCAGCAGCCGCGGUAAUACAGAGGUGGCAAGCGUUGUUCGGAUUUACUGGGCGUAAAGAGUGCGUAGGCGGCCAUGUGUGCCAAACGUGAAAUCCCGGGGCUCACCCCCGGAAGUGCGUCUGGAACUGCAUGGCUUUGAGUCCGGGAUGGGAUGUCGGAAUGCAUGGUGUAGCGGUGAAAUGCGUUGAUAUCAUGCAGAACACCGGUGGCGAAGGCGGACAUCUGGAACGGUACUGACGCUGAGGCACGAAAGCGUGGGGAGCAAACAGGAUUAGAUACCCUGGUAGUCCACGCCGUAAACGGUGCGCGCUUGGUGUGGGGGGAAUAGACCCCCCCCGUGCCGUAGCAAACGCGUUAAGCGCGCCGCCUGGGGAGUACGGCCGCAAGGUUAAAACUCAAAGAAAUUGACGGGGGCCCGCACAAGCGGAGGAGCAUGUGGCUUAAUUCGAUGCAACGCGAAGAACCUUACCCAGGCUUGACAUGCAGCUGCACGGUCGGUGAAAGCCGAUUUCCUUCGAGGGUGCUGCACAGGUGCUGCAUGGCUGUCGUCAGUUCGUGCCGUGAGGUGUUUGGUUAAGUCCACCAACGAACGCAACCCCUGUGUCCAGUUGCCAGCGGAUAGCGCCGGGGACUCUGGACAGACUGCCCGUUCACACGGGAGGAAGGUGGGGAUGACGUCAAGUCAGUAUGGCCCUUACGCCUGGGGCUGCACACGUGCUACAAUGGCCGGUACAGAGGGAUGCCAAGCCGCAAGGCGGAGCAAAUCCCCAAAACCGGCCCCAGUUCGGAUUGCGGUCUGCAACUCGACCGCAUGAAGUUGGAUUCGCUAGUAACGGCGUAUCAGCUACGACGCCGUGAAUACGUUCCCGGGCCUUGUACACACCGCCCGUCACAUCAUGAAAGCCGUCUGCACCCGAAGUCGCCGGCCCAACCCGCAAGGGAGGGAGGCGCCGAAGGUGUGGGUGGUGAUUGGGAUGAAGUCGGAACAAGGCA
rnacentral:rRNA from 1 species